rnacentral:tRNA from 1 species
CGGGGCGUGGCGCAGCCUGGUAGCGCACCUGCUUUGGGAGCAGGGGGCCGGAGGUUCGAAUCCUCUCGCCCCGACCA